rnacentral:rRNA from 1 species
AGAAUCAACGCUGGCGGCGUGCCUAACACAUGCAAGUCGCACGAGAAAGGGACUUCGGUCCUAAGUACAGUGGCGCACGGGUGAGUAACACGUGAAUUAUCUACCUCCGAGUGGGGAAUAACUGAGAGAAAUCUUAGCUAAUACCGCAUAACACUUACGAGUCAAAGCAGCAAUGCGCUUGGAGAGGAGUUCGCGGCAGAUUAGUUAGUUGGCGGGGUAAUGGCCCACCAAGACGAUGAUCUGUAUCCGGCCUGAGAGGGCGCACGGACACACUGGAACUGAAACACGGUCCAGACUCCUACGGAGGCAGCAGUGGGGAAUUUUGCGCAAUGGGGGAAACCCUGACGCAGCAACGCCGCGUGGAGGAUGAAAUAUCUUGGUAUGUAAACUCCUUUCGAUGGGAAGAUAAUGACGGUACCCAUAGAAGAAGCCCCGGCUAACUUCGUGCCAGCAGCCGC